AUUGAACGCUGGCGGCAGGCCUAACACAUGCAAGUCGAACGAGUGGCGGACGGGUGAGUAAUGUCUGGGAAACUGCCUGAUGGAGGGGGAUAACUACUGGAAACGGUAGCUAAUACCGCAUACCAUCAGAUGUGCCCAGAUGGGAUUAGCUAGUUGGUGGGGUAACGGCGCACCAAGGCGACGAUCCCUAGCUGUUCUGAGAGGAUGACCACCCACACUGGGAAUGAGACACGUGCCAGACUCCUCCGGGAGGAAGCAGUGGGGAAUAUUGCUCAAUGGGAGCAGGCCUGAUUCAGCUAUGCCGCUUGUAUGAUGAAGUCCUUCGGUUUUUAAAGCACUUUCAGCGGGGAUGCGUUACCCGCAGAAGAAGCACCGGCUAACUCCUUGCCAGCAGCCGCGGUAAUAC
rnacentral:rRNA from 1 species